CCUACGGGGGGCAGCAGUGGGGAAUAUUGGACAAUGGGCGAAAGCCUGAUCCAGCCAUGCCGCGUGUGUGAAGAAGGCCUUCGGGUUGUAAAGCACUUUCAGUGGGGAAGAAAGCCUUGGGGCUAAUACCCUCGAGGAAGGACAUCACCCACAGAAGAAGCACCGGCUAACUCCGUGCCAGCAGCCGCGGUAAUACGGAGGGUGCGAGCGUUAAUCGGAAUUACUGGGCGUAAAGCGCGCGUAGGCGGUCUGAUAAGCCGGUUGUGAAAGCCCCGGGCUCAACCUGGGAACGGCAUCCGGAACUGUCAGGCUAGAGUGCAGGAGAGGAAGGUAGAACUCCCGGUGUAGCGGUGAAAUGCGUAGAGAUCGGGAGGAAUACCAGUGGCGAAGGCGGCCUUCUGGACUGACACUGACGCUGAGGUGCGAAAGCGUGGGUAGCAAACAGGAUUAGAUACCCGUGUAGUC
rnacentral:rRNA from 1 species